ACGAACGCUGGCGGCAUGCCUAACACAUGCCAGUCGAACGAGACCUUCGGGUCUAGUGGCGCACGGGUGCGUAACGCGUGGGAACCUGCCCUUAGGUUCGGAAUAACUCCCCGAAAGGGGUGCUAAUACCGGAUAAUGUCUUCGGACCAAAGAUUUAUCGCCUUUGGAUGGGCCCGCGUUGGAUUAGCUAGUUGGUAGGGUAAAAGCCUACCAAGGCGACGAUCCAUAGCUGGUCUGAGAGGAUGAUCAGCCACACUGGGACUGAGGCACGGCCCAGACUCCUACGGGAGGCAGCAGUGGGGAAUAUUGGACAAUGGGCGAAAGCCUGAUCCAGCAAUGCCGCGUGAGUGAUGAAGGCCUUAGGGUUGUAAAGCUCUUUUACCCGGGAUGAUAAUGACAGUACCGGGAGAAUAAGCUCCGGCUAACUCCGUG
rnacentral:rRNA from 1 species